rnacentral:rRNA from 1 species
GACGAACGCUGGCGGCGUGCUUAACACAUGCAAGUCGAACGGUAAGGCCCUUCGGGGUACACGAGUGGCGAACGGGUGAGUAACACGUGGGUGAUCUGCCCUGCACUUCGGGAUAAGCCUGGGAAACUGGGUCUAAUACCGGAUAGGACCACUGCCUGUAUGGGUGGUGGUGGAAAGCUUUUGCGGUGUGGGAUGGGCCCGCGGCCGAUCAGCUUGUUGGUGGGGUGAUGGCCUACCAAGGCGACGACGGGUAGCUGGGCUGAGAGGGUGACCGGCCACACUGGGACUGAGAUACGGCCCAGACUCCUACGGGAGGCAGCAGUGGGGAAUAUUGCACAAUGGGCGCAAGCCUGAUGCAGCGACGCCGCGUGAGGGAUGACGGCCUUCGGGUUGUAAACCUCUUUCAGCACCGACGAAGCGCAAGUGACGGUAGGUGCAGAAGAAGGACCGGCCGACUACGUGCCAGCCGCCGCGGUAA